GUUCCGGCCUCAUUUAAACUUGCCUAGUUAGGUAGUUUUCAUUUGCUUCACCCUCUUGUCAUGCUAACAACAUUUAAUCUUGUUGGUUACAUAAACGAGAGAGAACUAAAUAAGUCAUGUGGUGUUUUCUUCAAUAUGUAAUUCCGUUGCAUAAUGAGCUCCACUUAAUUUGUAGGAUUGCUUGUGCACUUUGCCAUGCCAUGCCCUCUUUAAACCGUACAUGCAUCAUACUUGGUUGUGCAUCAUGCCAUGUCUAUGUGGUGGUUGUUUACUAUGUUGUGUGCUGCUUUCCGGUGUUUGCUUCUUCGGGUUGGAUUCCAUGACGUCGCGUUUGUGAGGACCUGUUCGUCUACGUCCAUUUGUCUUCUUCAUGGACUCGUUCUUCUUCCUUGUGGGAUCUUAGGCAAGAUGAUCAUACCCUCGAAAUCACUUCUAUCUUUGCUUUGCUAGAUGCUCGCUCUUUUGCUAUGCCUAUGCUGCGAUACCUACCACUUGUUUAUCAUGCCUCCUAUAUUGUUGAACCAAGCCUCUAACCCACCUUGUCCUAGCAAACCGUUGUUUGGCUAUGUUACCGCUUUGCUCAGCCCCUCUUAUAGUGUUGUUAGUUGCAGGUGAAGAUUGAAGUUUGUUCCUUGUUGGAACAUGGAGAUGUUGUUCCUUGUUGGAACAUGUUUACUUGUUGGGAUAUCACAAUAUAUCUUAUUUAAUUAAUGCAUCUAUAUACUUGGUAAAGGGUGGAAGGCUCGGCCUUAUGCCUGGUGUUUUGUUCCACUCUUGCCGCCCUAGUUUCCGUCAUAUCGGUGUUAUGUUCCUGGAUUUUGCGUUCCUUACGCGGUUGGGCUAUUAUGGGAACCCCUUGAUAGUUCGCCUUGAGUAAAACUCCUCCAGCAAUGCCCAACAUUGGUUUUACCAUUUGCCACCUAGCCUUUUCUUUCCCUUGGGUUCUGCAGACUCAAGGGUCAUCAUUAUUUUAACCCCCCCGGGCCAGUGCUCCUCUGAGUGUUGGUCCACCUGUCAGCUACCGGUGGCCACCAGGGACAACUCUGGGAUGGCCUACCCGUACCUAGGACAAUCUGAGUGUGCCCUGAGAAAGAGAUAUGUGCAGCUCCUAUCGGGAUUUGUCGGCACAUUCGGGUGGUGUUGCUGGAUUGGUUUUAACUUGUCGAAGUGUCUUGUAGAACCGGGAUACUGAGUCUGAUCGGAAUGUCUCGGGAGAAGGUCUAUUCCUUCGUUGACCGUGAGAGCUUGUCAUGGGCUAAGUUGGGACACCCCUGCAGGGAUUUGAACUUUCGAAAGCCGUGCCCGCGGUUAUGGGCAGAUGGGAAUUUGUUAACGUCCGGUUGUAGAAAACCUGAAGUUGACCUUAAUUAAAAUGCAUCAACCGCGUGUGUUACCGUGAUGGUCUCUUUCCGGUGGAGUCCGGGAAGUGAACACGGUGUUGGAGUAAUGCUUGACGUAGGUUGUUCUAGGAUCACUUCUUGAUCAUAGUUGUUCGACCGUGCUUUUGCCUUAUCUUCUCGCUCUCUUUUGCGUAUGUUAGCCACCAUAUAUGCUAGUCGCUUGUUGCAGCUCCACUUCAUACCUUUUACCUUACCCAUAAGCUUAAAUAGUCUUGAUCGCGAGGGUGCGAGAUUGCUGAGUCCCCGUGGCUCACAGAUACUUCCAAACCAGCUUGCAGGUGCCGAUGAGUCCGUACAGAUGACGCAACCCUGCUCAGGAGGAGCUCGAUGAAGAUCUUGUCCUUGUGUUGUUUCGUUCUAGUUGAUCAGUAGUGGAGCCCAGUCGGGACGAUCGGGGAUCUGUGUAGCAUUUGGGGUAGUCUUCUUUUAUUUUGGCUCCGUAGUCGGGCCUUGUUUGUAUUUGGAUGAUGUAAUGUUUUAUUCAUGUAAUUGUGUGAAGUGGCGAUUGUAAGCCAACUAUGUAUCUCUUUCCCUUAUGUAUUACAUGGAUUGUG
rnacentral:lncRNA from 1 species